GCCCGGUUAGCUCAAUCGGUAGAGCGUGAGACUCUUAAUCUCAAGGUUGCGGGUAAGUUCAUAUUCGCUACUCUGCGAUUAGUUACAGCAUAUGCUAACAUCACCUCAAAGGUUCGACCCCCGCAUCGGGCU